UACAUGCAAGUAGAACGCUGAAGAGAGGAGCUUGCUCUUCUUGGAUGAGUUGCGAACGGGUGAGUAACGCGUAGGUAACCUGCCUUGUAGCGGGGGAUAACUAUUGGAAACGAUAGCUAAUACCGCAUAACAAUGGAUGACACAUGUCAUUUAUUUGAAAGGGGCAAUUGCUCCACUACAAGAUGGACCUGCGUUGUAUUAGCUAGUAGGUGAGGUAAUGGCUCACCUAGGCGACGAUACAUAGCCGACCUGAGAGGGUGAUCGGCCACACUGGGACUGAGACACGGCCCAGACUCCUACGGGAGGCAGCAGUAGGGAAUCUUCGGCAAUGGGGGCAACCCUGACCGAGCAACGCCGCGUGAGUGAAGAAGGUUUUCGGAUCGUAAAGCUCUGUUGUAAGUCAAGAACGGGUGUGAGAGUGGAAAGUUCACACUGUGACGGUAGCUUACCAGAAAGGGACGGCUAACUACGUGCCAGCAGCCGCGGUAAUACGUAGGUCCCGAGCGUUGUCCGGAUUUAUUGGGCGUAAAGCGAGCGCAGGCGGUUUGAUAAGUCUGAAGUUAAAGGCUGUGGCUCAACCAUAGUUCGCUUUGGAAACUGUCAAACUUGAGUGCAGAAGGGGAGAGUGGAAUUCCAUGUGUAGCGGUGAAAUGCGUAGAUAUAUGGAGGAACACCGGUGGCGAAAGCGGCUCUCUGGUCUGUAACUGACGCUGAGGCUCGAAAGCGUGGGGAGCGAACAGGAUUAGAUACCCUGGUAGUCCACGCCGUAAACGAUGAGUGCUAGGUGUUGGAUCCUUUCCGGGAUUCAGUGCCGCAGCUAACGCAUUAAGCACUCCGCCUGGGGAGUACGACCGCAAGGUUGAAACUCAAAGGAAUUGACGGGGGCCCGCACAAGCGGUGGAGCAUGUGGUUUAAUUCGAAGCAACGCGAAGAACCUUACCAG
rnacentral:rRNA from 1 species